GGUAAUGCUGUUGCUCUUGGAGCAGGAGAGCUUAUUUUAUUUUAUCUUAAUAUUUGAUGCUUUAAGAUUGGUACCAAUGUUCUCUAUAGGUAAGGCUAAUGUUUUCAGAUUUUUUUUCUGUGAACCUAUCCCUCUGUCUUCAAGGAACAUUUCCCUCAGAGAAAAAAUGAAUGUCUUACAAAUUAUGAAGUCUGGAGGACUGCAUGGAUGCAGCAUUGGAAGGAUUGGACCCUAUCCACUUUACAUGGAAAGUUUUGAAUCCCUUGUAGAAAACAACAAAGUAUCUGAUGAGAUAAUGGAUGCCCUGUUCCAUCUGUUCAGCAUG